UACAGAGGGUGCGAGCGUUGUCCGGAAUCACUGGGCGUAAAGGGCGCGUAGGCGGCUUGAUAAGGUUGCGGUGAAAGCCCGGGGCUCAACCCCGGGUCGGCCGUGGCAACUGUCGAGCUGGAGCACUGUAGAGGCAGGUGGAAUUCCGGGUGUAGCGGUGGAAUGCGUAGAGAUCCGGAAGAACACCGGCGGCGAAGGCGGCCUGCUGGGCAGUGGCUGACGCUGAGGCGCGACAGCGUGGGGAGCAAACAGG
rnacentral:rRNA from 1 species